GCUGCCACCUCCUCAUCAACAAGCACUGGCCAACCUGACAUCAGAGUUGAAUUUAAGGCCAAGUACGAGGAAAAGGAGCUGCUGGGUGAAGGAGGCUACGCUAUGGUCUAUGCAGGACUUCGAAGAAUUGACAAUCUGCCUGUGGCGAUCAAACAUAUUCCACAGCCCAUUGUUGAGCGCAUCCCAUUACAUGCGAAUG